rnacentral:rRNA from 1 species
GAAUGUGGCGUUGAGUAUGUGGGCGUAGACCCGAAACCAGGUGAUCUACCCUUGGUCAGGUUGAAGUUCAGGUAACACUGAAUGGAGGACCGAACCGACUUACGUUGAAAAGUGAGCGGAUGAACUGAGGGUAGCGGAGAAAUUCCAAUCGAACUUGGAGAUAGCUGGUUCUCUCCGAAAUAGCUUUAGGGCUAGCCUCAAGUGAUGAUUAUUGGAGGUAGAGCACUGUUUGGACGAGGGGCCCCUCUCGGGUUACCGAAUUCAGACAAACUCCGAAUGCCAAUUAAUUUAACUUGGGAGUCAGAACAUGGGUGAUAAGGUCCGUGUUCGAAAGGGAAACAGCCCAGACCACCAGCUAAGGUCCCAAAAUAUAUGUUAAGUGGAAAAGGAUGUGGCGUUGCCCAGACAACUAGGAUGUUGGCUUAGAAGCAGCCAUCAUUUAAAGAGUGCGUAAUAGCUCACUAGUCGAGUGACACUGCGCCGAAAAUGUACCGGGGCUAAACAUAUUACCGAAGCUGUGGAUUGUCCUUUGGACAAUGGUAGGAGAGCGUUCUAAGGGCGUCGAAGCAUGAUCGCAAGGACAUGUGGAGCGCUUAGAAGUGAGAAUGCCGGUGUGAGUAGCGAAAGACGGGUGAGAAUCCCGUCCACCGAUUGACUAAGGUUUCCAGAGGAAGGCUCGUCCGCUCUGGGUUAGUCGGGUCCUAAGCUGAGGCCGACAGGCGUAGGCGAUGGAUAACAGGUUGAUAUUGCUGUACUACCUAGUCUCGUUUUAAUCGAUGGGGGGACGCAGUAGGAU